rnacentral:misc_RNA from 1 species
AAACCUAUGGGCCUAAUUGGGUUCCGUAUUGGGCCUCGCCUCUUAAGCGGCGUCGCCUUGAAGGCAUCGGCCUUAUGGAGUGGACGGGAUCCUUAUGGACUGACCGUUUCAUAGCCGGAUUUUGACUCUG